AGGAUAAACGCUGGCGGCGUGCAUGAGACAUGCAAGUCGAACGGACGAUCAGGGCUUGCUCUGAUCGUUAGUGGCGGACGGCUGAGUAACGCGUAGGUGACCUGCCCCGAAGUGGGGAAUAACUGCCCGAAAGGGUGGCUAAUACCGCAUGUGGUGGUGUGUUCAUUCACACCAGUAAAGCCGCAAGGCGCUUCGGGAGGGGCCUGCGUCCGAUUAGCUCGUUGGCGGGUAACGGCUCACCAAGGCGACGAUCGGUAGGUGGUCUGAGAGGACGAUCACCCAGACUGGGGACUGAGACACGGCCCAGACUCCUACGGGAGGCAGCAGUCGGGAAUUUUGCGCAAUGGACGAAAGUCUGACGCAGCAACGCCGCGUGAGGGAUGAAGGCCUUCGGGUUGUAAACCUCUUUUAUCUAGGGAAGAUAAUGACGGUACCUGAUGAAUAAGUCACGGCUAACUACGUGCCAGCAGCCGC
rnacentral:rRNA from 1 species